GUGACGAUGGCGGAGAGGACACACCCGUUCCCAUGCCGAACACGGAAGUUAAGCUCUCCAGCGCCGAUGAUAGUCGGGGGCUCUCCCCCUGUGAAAGUAGGACGUCGCU
rnacentral:rRNA from 1 species